CCCAUUAGGGGUCGCCACAGCAGAUGAAUUGUUUCCUUCUCACCUGUCUUCUGUAACUUCCUCUGAAUCACCUGCAUGUCCUGCCUCACCACAUCCAUAAUCCUGCUCUUUGGCCUCCCUCUUCUCCUCUUGCCUGGUGGCUCCAUCCUCAGCAUCCUUCUCCCAAUAUACUCUGGGUCCCUCCUCUGCACAUGUACGAACAUUUCAAUCUUGCCUCCCUUACUUUGUCUCCAAACCAUCCCAUCUGAACUGUCCCCCUGCUCAAGCCAGCACAUGUC